GGGAGUAUAGCUCAGUGGUAAAGCAUUUGCUUAGCAUCCAUGAAAUCCUGGGUUCAAUUCCCAGUACCUCCA
rnacentral:tRNA from 1 species